ensembl:snRNA U6 U6 spliceosomal RNA
GUGCUCAUUUGGGCAGCACAUAUAGUACAAUUGGAAUAAUACAGAGAAAAUUAGCAUGACCCCUGCACAAGAAUGACACACAAAUUUGUGAAGCAUUCCAUAUUUUU